rnacentral:lncRNA from 1 species
AAAAGAUGGAACACACUUUCUAAAAGCAAUAAAAUUUCUUUUAUUUCAGAAGCGGUAGUAUAUGAUGCUGAGUUUUUCACAGUCAUCAAAGUCACAGCUGGAGUAAUUGGUGGCAUCAUGAUUUUGACUUUUAUAGUAGUUGGCUACAUAACUCACAAAAGGGUUACCAAUUUUUUCAUAAAAGAGAAGCAGGAAAAUAAAAAGAAGAAUAAAGAAGCUAAUAAUGAAAGAACGACUAAUGUAUAAGAAUGAUGAAGAGAACAUCAAAGAUAGAAAAGCAGAAAAUGAUACCAAAAAGCCAAUCCACUUCACUACUUUCAAUUUAAUGACAGUCCACUUUAUAGUACAAGAUAAACAAAGUGAUUCAAAACUCCCUUCAACAUUAACCCUUUUGAUAAUAAACCACUUGAAUCCACACUAAGUCCCAUGGUACAAAAACUUUUUUUCUAAAAUUAUUUGAAUUAAAACAUUACACAAACA